rnacentral:rRNA from 1 species
GAUGAACGCUAGCUACAGGCUUAACACAUGCAAGUCGAGGGGAAACGAUAGAGAAAGCUUGCUUUUUCUAGGCGUCGACCGGCGCACGGGUGAGUAACGCGUAUCCAACCUGCCCAUCACUUGGGGAUAACCUUGCGAAAGUAAGACUAAUACCCAAUGACGUCUCUAGAAGACAUCUGAAGGAGAUUAAAGAUUUAUCGGUGAUGGAUGGGGAUGCGUCUGAUUAGCUUGUUGGCGGGGUAACGGCCCACCAAGGCGACGAUCAGUAGGGGCUCUGAGAGGAAGGUCCCCCACAUUGGAACAGAGACACGGUCCAAACUCCUACGGGAGGCAGCAGUGAGGAAUAUUGGUCAAUGGACGAGAGUCUGAACCAGCCAAGUAGCGUGCAGGAUGACGGCCCUAUGGGUUGUAAACUGCUUUUAUAAGGGAAUAAAGUGAGCCACGUGUGGCUUUUUGCAUGUACCUUAUGAAUAAGGACCGGCUAAUUCCGUGCCAGCAGCCGCCGCGG